AGCUUUCUGAAUACAUGCCGAGAUUUCGUCAGCGACCAGCCCAUCAGGACUAACGAGACUCCCAUAAUAAGUGAACG
rfam:Schistosoma mansoni strain Puerto Rico chromosome W, complete genome